rnacentral:rRNA from 1 species
GACGAACCGUCCUAACGUUGUUCGGAAUCACUGGGCUUGAAGGGCGCGUAGGCGGCCCUGUAAGUCGGGGGUGAAAGCCCACGGCCCAACCGUGGAAGUGCCUCCGAUACUGCGGGGCUCGAGGGAGGUAGGGGCAGCGGGAACUUCCGGUGGAGCGGUGAAAUGCGUUGAUAUCGGAAGGAACGCCGGUGGCGAAAGCGCGCUGCUGGACCUCUGCUGACGCUGAGGCGCGAAAGCCAGGGGAGCAAACGGG